rnacentral:siRNA from 1 species
ACCUCAGCCUGCUAACUAGCUA